rnacentral:rRNA from 1 species
GACGAACGCUGGCGGCGUGCCUAAUACAUGCAAGUCGAGCGGGUUUGUUCCUUCGGGGACAAGCUAGCGGCGGACGGGUGAGUAACACGUAGGUAACCUGCCUUCAAGAUCGGGAUAACUUUCGGAAACGAACGCUAAGACCGGAUAGCUGGUUUUCUCGCAUGAGAGAAUCCUGAAACACGGAGCAAUCUGUGGCUUGAAGGUGGGCCUGCGGCGCAUUAGCGAGUUGGUAGGGUAACGGCCUACCAAGGCGGCGAUGCGUAGCCGACACGGGAGGGUGAACGGCCACACUGGGACUGAGCCACGGCCCAGACUCCUACGGGAGGCAGCAGUAGGGAAUCUUCCGCACUGGACGCAAGUCUGACGGAGCAACGCCGCGUGAGUGAUGAAGGUUUUCGGAUCGUAAAGCUCUGUUGCCCUAGACGAACAGCAGGGAGAGUAACUGCUCUCUGUGUGACGGUAUAGGAGAAGAAAGCCCCGGCUAACUACGUGCCAGCCGCCGCGGUAA